GCUAGCUCAGUGGUUAGAGCUUAGGCUUUGUGACCUUAAGGUCCUGAGUUCGGAUCUCGCCAAAGGCA
rnacentral:tRNA from 1 species